UACGUAGGGAGCAAGCGUUGUCCGGAAUCAUUGGGCGUAAAGCGCGCGUAGGCGGCCCCGUAAGUCCGCUGUGAAAGUCAAAGGCUCAACCUUUGAAAGCCGGUGGAUACUGUGGGGCUAGAGUCCGGAAGAGGCGAGUGGAAUUCCUGGUGUAGCGGUGGAAUGCGCAGAUAUCAGGAGGAACACCGGUGGCGAAGGCGGGACUCUGGGCCGAUACUGACGCUGAGGAGCGAAAGCGUGGGGAGCAAACAGG
rnacentral:rRNA from 1 species